GAGGAUCCAGGGGACACUGUGACACCUCAGACAUCACCCAGGUCCUGCAGACACCACACACAUUUGGCAAGUCCUGACUAUUCCCGUGCCUGCCGGGUCAGAGGGAGCCACUCAGGACCUCGUGGCCACCCCUCCUCGGUUCUUAACUUUCCCAUGUCAGCAUCUGCUCCAGCCAGAGGCAUCCCGGCCCAGGAAAACAAACGCACCCACACUCCUAGGCCCACAGCCUUGUUUUGCAUGCAAGCAAUCAGCUUCUUCAAAUGACAUCUGGGCUUCAUGGUGUCGUGUCCCCUGAAUAACAAACAACAGUAGCCGUGACCAUAUCUGCCACUACAACCAACGAUAUUCCUGAGGACACCGGCAGCGUCAUCACGAGAGCCCUGUGUCUGGGCACCGUGGUCACCACGCCACAUGCUCCCCAUGUGGCAGCUCUUGCCAAGGUUGCACCAACCAGCCUACAAGCAGCUCCCGGGAAGCUGCAGUACCCCUCAGGUACAACACAGACGGCUCUUCCUCACUGUUGGAGAAGGUCCCGGGAGCCCCCUCCUUCCUUCCCUGACCUCGGUGUCCCCAUGGCAACAGCUGGAGGAAGUGAGGAGACCCCGGCGCCCUUCCCCUGUGAGGCCGUCCUGCCCGCCCUCCUUCUGGCAAGUCUGGAAGCUGCAGAGGUCCCCGGGGAGAAGAAUGUCCAGGACAGAGCAUGGCCUGGCUUCUCCCUCUUCCCUGCGUCUUCUUUCUGGAACCUCUCCAGAUAAGCCAUCCAGGCCAAGCCCCCAGCUGUGCUUCUGGGGAAUCCAAACCAAGAUAGCACCCACAGCCGCUCCGGGCCCACUCGGAUGGACGCCCCCAACCCGGGGAGCGUGGGGCCGAGCUGCCAGUUGCUUCACAGCCCGGCUGGGGUGGGCACAGGUAGCGGAGUCCCCAGCCGGGGCUGCUGAGGAGUGUCCAAAGUGCAGAGAAAAGCGGUCUCCCCAGACGCACACCGGCUUGCAGAUGGGCAGCACACAAGCUCGUGAAUGCAGCAGAAUGUGGCAUCUGAAGUCCUUUCGGGGCCAAAGUCCUGGUUACACUGCCUGCUUCCCAGGCUCCAAACCUGAACGAGCUAUCUUGGCCCCCAUGUCACGGACAGGUAAGGUGAGGCAGUCCGUGUACCAGCAUCACCUUGCUAGGCCUCGCAACACUACACAAGUAUCAGUGAUUAGCAUUUCCAGAGCUCUUGCUUGAGAAAAGCAAUGUCUUACUAGAUUUAAAAAGUGUUAGGGAGGGCAGGAGUAAGGGGAAAAAAUGAGAAUCAAGACUUGUCAUGUAGAGGUACAAGAUCCCAACAAUGAAUGUAACUGUAUUGUAUCCCUAAAAUGUACCAAUAAACUCAAUUAAAGCUGGAAAAAAAAAGCGUUUACAGGUAUUACCAUCCAGUUUCCUACCUCAGUGUUUUCUUGCUCUAUAACCAUGAAAGGAAGGAAGAGGGAGAGAGAGAGAGGGGAGGGGGAGAAAAACAAAGGUCAGUGGAGAAACGCCCAGGGCAAAGGUCACCAGCUGGCAUAGGCCAAAACUGGCUUGUGCAAAAACUGGCUUGUGCAUUCAUCUUGUUUGGUUGAUAGAACUGGACAUUUCUUUUAAUUCCACUGUUUAAACAUCAGGGGAACUAUGUACACAGCCAGGUCUGGCUUCUCCGGAAAAAUAAGGUGAGCGUGUUCUUACCAUGGCUGCACCUGGCUGGGCCUGAGCCACCAAUCCCCAGGGAAAAGACACUCGUGCCUCUCCAGCCACCCAGCCUUCCACCUGGUCACUACGGCAAACCUCUUUGCAACCUCGGCUCUAAAUCCAGAUUUAGCCGUAAACUGGGCGUCUUUCAGCCAUUGCUGCUACUGUGUACUGAGCAGGCCUGGGGCUGGGAGGACAGGGAAUCUGAUAAAAAGUGCGCCUGUGAAUCCCACCUGCCUAUGCUUUGCCCCUCAAACUCCACUCCAGGACUCUCUGGCUGCGGGGACGAGUGGACUUCGAGGCGGAGUUCUUGGAAUUCUUGAAAUCAUCAUCAUGUUCAGGAGCAUCAGCAUAGUACUGGGCUACUACGGCACAGUACCACAAACGUCCUUAAAAUCGAGCUAAGGCGCGUUCACACCUCCCUGUGGGUCCUGGGAAACACCCAGUGCCUUUUGUAGCACUCGGUAUUCACCCUUCCCAAGACUCCUGCCAGUUCCAAGGGAUUGAAACUCGUGCGCCACACGGAUGGAGCUGGGGAGGAGGGGGGAGGGUGUAGCUCUGGAGGGGUAGCGUGACGCAUUCUUGCGGUUGGCUGCUCUGUAUCCUGUUGGUUACACAAAUCUGCACGUGCGUGAGAUAUACGUGUACACACGCACGCGUGCACACCACUCCCCAAGGCCGCAGUGUGUGCACACAGUCUGGCGGAGACAGGCACACCCCUUGUCUCCUGCAGUGUUGUCAGGUAGAGGCUUGGCUGUGCCCCGUCUGUUCUUCUCUCCCCAUCCCUGUCCUUCAAAACCAGGCACACAAACAACAAAAAGCAAAGCAAAAGCAAAAAAAAGAUGAAGUCUCCAUUUCUAACUCAGCAAGUGUAGCCCUCUCCUCGAGUAUCUGAAGGGAACAGAGGGAGGCAAAGACAGACAGAGGGAGGCUGAGGCCGGGCCAGGUGGAGCCUCCCCAAUGGAAGAACCGGUCUGGCUGGCACCUGCAGAGCUUUUAUUCAUCGUGUAGAGAUAAGGGAGGUGCAGGGGAGGUACAAGGAGGUGCCGAGAGCAACUGGAACGGGGAGCGGCUAGGGCCUGCUCCACAUCAUGUUUGAUGAAUUUAUGGCCAAUGGGUGGGGAGGAAGAUGCGUCCUCUUCCGGGCCAGGCCUCGCUUCACCGUGUCCUCUCGUCGCUUGUGCUCCCAGGGGGCCCUGCCUCAACCACUGGAGGAAGCAAACAAGAUGCGUGUUCCUUGCUCGCCGCAGGGCCCCGCCUCGUCCUCAGGAGAAGAUGCAUGAGGCCUGGCCAUAGUGAUCCGCAGUGAGCGCUCCCAGCAGACGGGGUCUCCCCCGCCAUCCUCUCAGGAUGUGUCACGGUGACUUCCUCCACCAGGACAGUUCUGCUGCCGAGGAAAUGGCAGAGGCGGCCGCACGAGCCAAGUCCCGUCCCCGGCGCCGUGCACUGGUUCAGAGCCUGGUUCUGGCCUGGGUGUCACCUUCUAGGCAGCUGGGUUCUCCAGCUUUGCCGGCCUCCCUCGUUCAUCCUGGGCCUCCUGGCCACUAUCCAGCUGCUCUUUCUCUCCUUCCCUCCUUCCUUUUACAGUGCUUGGGCACGCACAGGUUAGCCUCGAGAAGGCCACAGCCAAGAGGGGUCCGCCUGCUCCCCAUGAAGCCAGUGUCCCUUGGCCAAGGACGCGGGGUGCAGAAGGUCAAGUGCUCUCUCCCAUGACUCCUCUCUGCCUCCUGGAUGGAUCCUGCUCCACACAAUAUCUCUCUUCCUGGGCGGGGGAUUUAGCUCGGUGAUUUCCACCGCUGCCUCGCAAGCACAAGGUCCUGAGUUCGAUCCCCAGUAUAAAAAAAAAAUCUCUCUUCCUUCCCCUUUCCAGAGUCAUGCUUCUGAAUUUCCAUUCUGUAAACAAUUCAUUUUGUGUCUGUCAAUAAAAAGCCAGGGACGCUUUUGGCGAGAGAGGCAGACUAUGGCUAUAUUCCCGGCUUCAGUUGGGCAAAUAAAGUUUAUAUUGUUUUAUUGUGCUACGGUGGCCUCAUGGUUUUUUUAUGAGAAGUUAAAGUUUAAGUUCUCAAAUGCAUACUAUGUUGAAGCAAAACAACCUAAGCCGAGGGAUAAACCAGGCCCACUUUAAACACUCAGCUCUUAAAGCCAGGUAAAAUUAUCACAUAAAACGGUUGCACAACUAAGCCCCAGGUGUGCUCACCCAGAAGACAUUUGUUGAUCG
ensembl:lincRNA